GCUGGGUGUGGUGGCUCACGCCUGUAAUCCCAGCACUUUAGGAGGCUGAGGCGGGUGGAUCACCUGAGGUCAGGAGUUCGGGAUCAGCCUGGCCAACAUGGUGAAAUCUUGUCUCUA
ensembl:misc_RNA Metazoa_SRP Metazoan signal recognition particle RNA